UACAGAGGCCUCGAGCGUUUAGGCGGAAUCACUGGGCUUAAAGCGUGUGUAGGCGGACUUCUAAGUACCUUGUGAAAUCCCACGGCUCACCCGUGGAACUGCUCGGUAUACUGGUCGUCUUGAGCCUUCUAGGGGCGAGUGGAACAAAUGGUGGAGCGGUGAAAAUGCGUAGAUAUCGCCUGGAACGCCGAAGGGUGAAAAACAGGUCUGCUGGGG
rnacentral:rRNA from 1 species